rnacentral:lncRNA from 1 species
AAUCCUGCUGUUUUGGUUGUCAGUCAGAAGCGGAACAUCAUUCGAAGUUUAAAAUCUUUGUGGUUGCAGAGAGAUUGUUGUUGUAAUGGCCUUCGUCUGAGCUGUAAGUCAGAAAAGUACAGUGGAUGCUAAACGCCCCAACAAGAAGGCUAGAGGGGCAGAUGCUCGAUUUGAUCAAGUACAGAGAUGCAACAGUGAAAGGUCCUUCAUUGCAAUAAAGAUUAAAAAUGAAAGAGUGCAACCAGGUCUGGCAGUACAUCCACAUCCGUUGUCCCCGAGCAGGAGACUGAGGGAGAUGAUUCUGGGAGCUUCAUGGACUCUGGAGGAGCUAGAAAUGGAGGAUAACUUCUGUUCCAUCCCUCGACCCAGGUGCAGGGAAUGGAGUCAUGCACUUGACAGUUCAAACCAUAUGGAUCUUGGAACCGAGGAUUCCAGACUGGAAGUUAUAGCCAGUCUAGCAAUGAAACCAUCAGAUGCCAGAGUCCCAAGAAGCAAGUCUAGGGAGGGCUUUGAACUGGGAGGUUACAGAGAUGAAUACUACACUGAGAGGAAGAAGUGA